rnacentral:rRNA from 1 species
UGGGGAAUAUUGCACAAUGGGCGAAAGCCUGAUGCAGCGACGCCGCUUGAGGGAUGACGGCCUUCGGGUUGUAAACCUCUUUCAGUAGGGACGAAGCGCAAGUGACGGUACCUGCAGAAGAAGCACCGGCUAACUACGUGCCAGCAGCCGCGGUAAUACGUAGGGGGCGAGCGUUGUCCGGAAUUACUGGGUGUAAAGAGCUCGUAGGCGCGUUGUCACGUCGUCUGUGAAAUCAUAGGGCUUAACCCUGGACGUGCAGGCGAUACGGGCUGAUUUGAGUACUACGGGAGAGACUGGAAUUUCUGGUGUAGCGGUGGAAUGCACAGAUAUCAGGAAGAACACCGAUGGCGAAGGCAGGUCUCUGGGUAGUAACUGACGCUGAGGAGCGAAAGCAUGGGUAGCGAACAGG